UACGGAGGGUGCAAGCGUUAUCCGGAUUCACUGGGUUAAAGGGUGCGUAGGUGGGUUGGUAAGUCAGUGGUGAAAUCUCCGGGCUUAACCCGGAAACUGCCAUUGAUACUAUCAGUCUUGAAUAUUGUGGAGGUCAGCGGAAUAUGUCAUGUAGCGGUGAAAUGCUUAGAUAUGACAUAGAACACCAAUUGCGAAGGCAGCUGGCUACUCAUAUAUUGACACUGAGGCACGAAAGCGUGGGGAUCAAAACAGG
rnacentral:rRNA from 1 species